GUGAGCGUAGCUCAGUCUGGUUAGAGCAUUGGAUUGUGGUUCCAAGGGUCGAGGGUUCGAGUCCCUCCGUUCACA
rnacentral:tRNA from 1 species